rnacentral:rRNA from 1 species
AGUGAACGCUGGCGGCAGGCCUAACACAUGCAAGUCGAGCGGCAGCGCCGGGGCAACCCUGGCGGCGAGCGGCGGACGGGUGAGGAAUUCGUCGGAAUCUGCCUUUUUGUGGGGGAUAACGUAGGGAAACUUACGCUAAUACCGCAUACGUCCUACGGGAGAAAGUGGGGGACCGCAAGGCCUCACGCAGAAAGAUGAGCCGACGACCGAUUAGCUAGUUGGUGGGGUAAAGGCCCACCAAGGCGACGAUCGGUAGCUGGUCUGAGAGGAUGAUCAGCCACACUGGGACUGAGACACGGCCCAGACUCCUACGGGAGGCAGCAGUGGGGAAUAUUGGACAAUGGGCGCAAGCCUGAUCCAGCCAUGCCGCGUGUGUGAAGAAGGCCUUCGGGUUGUAAAGCACUUUUGUCCGGAAAGAAAUCCCUGGAGCUAAUACCUUCGGGGGAUGACGGUACCGGAAGAAUAAGCACCGGCUAACUUCGUG